AAUGUGGUAUGUUUUCAUUGUGAAUGCAAGCGCCCAGUUGAUGACUAUAUGGUUGCUCAACAGCAGGAGAGGCUACAAGGAUCCAGGACACAGAUGAAUAAAAUAUCUCGCCGGCAAGAUGUUUCUAAUGCAUGGAAUUUUGAUUUUGAUGAUGAUGAGUCAGAUGGUGCAGACAUUGCUGCCUUCGAGACUGCAGAUUCUCGGAAACUGGGUGAAGAUUUUCCCCUGGAUAGGCAAGAACGAAGAGAUACUUCCAGGAGCAAUGAAGAUGGUUUCCACAAGAGCAGCAGGCCUCCAAAAGGUUACGAAACUGAAUACCCCGCACCUGGGAAACCAGGGGUAGGCUUUAAUGACUUUGAUGAUGAAGAAGAUGAUGUCGACAGCUAUGAGAUAGACAGUAAUGGAGCAAACAGAAGUUCUAAAAUAGAUUUCUCGGAUAUUGAGGUCAACUCCGAAUCUGAAGAUAUUGAUAGUGUUGAUGACACUUUGCUUGUUGGUAGAAGGAACAGUUCCCCCGCAAGCGAUGCACAUUUUAGACAGAGACAUCAGAAAGG
rnacentral:misc_RNA from 1 species